rnacentral:rRNA from 1 species
UGCAGUCGAGCGAACAGAUAGGAGCUUGCUCCUUUGACGUUAGCGGCGGACGGGUGAGUAACACGUGGGUAACCUACCUAUAAGACUGGAAUAACUCCGGGAAACCGGGGCUAAUGCCGGAUAACAUAUAGAACCGCAUGGUUCUAUAGUGAAAGAUGGUUUUGCUAUCACUUAUAGAUGGACCCGCGCCGUAUUAGCUAGUUGGUAAGGUAAUGGCUUACCAAGGCGACGAUACGUAGCCGACCUGAGAGGGUGAUCGGCCACACUGGAACUGAGACACGGUCCAGACUCCUACGGGAGGCAGCAGUAGGGAAUCUUCCGCAAUGGGCGAAAGCCUGACGGAGCAACGCCGCGUGAGUGAUGAAGGGUUUCGGCUCGUAAAACUCUGUUAUUAGGGAAGAACAUAUGUGUAAGUAACUGUGCACAUCUUGACGGUACCUAAUCAGAAAGCCACGGCUAACUACGUGCCAGCAGCCGCGGUAAUACGUAGGUGGCAAGCGUUAUCCGGAAUUAUUGGGCGUAAAGCGCGCGUAGGCGGUUUCUUAAGUCUGAUGUGAAAGCCCACGGCUCAACCGUGGAGGGUCAUUGGAAACUGGGAAACUUGAGUGCAGAAGAGGAAAGUGGAAUUCCAUGUGUAGCGGUGAAAUGCCCAGAGAUAUGGAGGAACACCAGUGGCGAACGCGACUUUCUGGUCUGUAACUGACACUGAUGUGCGAAAGCGUGGGGAUCAAACACGAUUAGAUACACUGGUAGUCCACGCCGUAAACGAUGAGUGCUGAGUGUUA